ensembl:lincRNA
AUGAAGUAAAAAUGCCAUGGGAAUCACAGGGAGCUAUCAGAGUAAGACACUUCGAGAGAAUAUGGACCCAGGUCAAGACCAAGGAGCUGACCCUGUCCCACAGGUGCUGAGGGACCAGUACCAUCAUGGCAGCAGAGUAGAGUCGGGCUAGAGAUGUUAUGGAAUAACUCUGAUGACCAGUCUCCAACUUCUUGGUUUGCCACUUGCCUACAAUGACCUUUCACCUCCUUCAUAGCAAAGUCCUUUGCUGUCAUUGUUCUUAUGUUGUGCAUCUGAAGAGGUCAAAGUCAACCUCAGGCAUUAUUCCACAAGGUGUCAUCCACCUUGACUUUGUUUUGUUUUUAGGUUUAGGGUCUCUCCCUCAAUCCAAUAGGGUGGCAUGGCUGACCAGACGGCCCCAGGGAUCUUCCUGGCUCCACAGGGUCAGUGCUAAGAUUGCAAAUGGCAACCACCAUGCUGAGGUUUUUGUUUUUGUUUUUUAAAUCUGGGUUCCGGGACCUGAAUGCAGGUCCUUGUGGUUGAGUAACAAACACUUUAUCACUGAGCUAUCCCCUCAGCCUCCUUCAAGACAAAAUUUAGAUGACAAUCAAGGUCAGCUCAUGAUCCAUCAUUGAGGGAAGUUCUUGUCAGCCUCUCAUAACCCAGCCGAUCUUUAUCUAAAGCCCUGAGCAAGUCCAGUCUUCUCAACUGUGGUUCACACAGCUCCUGCUGGAAACAGCCUUCCAGACCUCCAGAGGCAAGAGCACCCAGAACUGCCAGGUGUCUGAUAUGUCACAAUGAAUGGAAACAAGAAACAUUCCAUCCUGCAGGAAGCUCCUUAGGAUUAGGGAGCCGUUCACAGAGGCCUCAGAGGGGAAAGCCACGGAGUGCACAGGAACCAACUGCUCAUCUUUGCCUGCAUGCCACAUGUUCAGCAAACAAACCCUUGCUCGGAAAUCCCCGGUUUCUCCAGAAUGCAAGCAUUCCCAGGGAAAUUGAGGUGUAAAUUGGUUACCUGGCAUGUUGUUUUGAACUUGACUCCACAUAAAGAGAUAUUUAUUUCC